CUCAUCGCUCUUUUCAUCUUCUUCAAUAAUUCAGUGAACUCAAAGCUCUGCAGAAGUAAAGGUCCUCGAGAAAAUGGCAGAGGAAGAGCCCAAGAAGGUGGAACCCGAGUCGCCUCAACCUCAACAUCCCCCACCCGAAUCCGAACCCGAAACCGCACCCGUUGAAGAGAAGUCAGUCGUACCUUUACCUCUUCCUCCUCCCCUGCUGCUGCUGAAGACAAAGCAGAUGAUACCAAAGCUCUUGCUGUUGUUGAAAAGCCUAUUGAGACCCCAGUGGUGAAAAGUAAAGACGGUUCUGGUAAUCGAGAUGUUGAGCUUGCAUGAGUUGAGACAGAUAAGAAGUUGUCUUUGAUUAGAGCAUGGAAGAAAAUGAGAAAUCAAAGGCAGAAACAAGUAAGAG